UUUACUACAGUAAGGGUCAAAUACUCGAUUCAUCUUCUAUCAAUAUACACUCCGUGCUUAGAAUGAUAUUCCUGGUGGGUUUUUUUUAAAUAAAUUCGUUAUUUUGUUAAUUAAAUCUGAAAUGUCAACUUUAAAGGAUUUAGUUUAUUUAACACACAUACAACCAUUACAUACAAACAUUGAUUGCGUCGUUUCGUUUUGUAAUUCUUAAUCGUUUUACUAUCUCACAAAUAACUGAUUGCGUCGGUACUUAAUUAAAAAUAAUUUGUUUGCAUGCGAGAGUAGAUGAAUGAGCCAAACUGUUGAGCAUAAUCUGCAUAUACUGAUGAUGGAAGAUAAGUGUAUCGAGUGUGCGUUAGCAGUUCUACCGCGACAACAAGGAAUUUCUUGUUACCUAUGUGACAAAUGGCAACAAAGAACAUGCAAUCAGAUACAUUGCCGGGACGCUGUCGACGAGUGGGUUACUCAAGUACUUUCUACAAAACAGUGGUUACCAAGAGACCAGAAGAAAUAGUGAAUAGUGAAUUAGGAUGAUAUUUCAACAUUGCCGGUCUUGAUCGAUAAAAAAUGGAUGUGUUAUGAUGUUAUUUAUGUAACGAUAUCAAUUCAGAUAUCGACUUAGAUUUGCGUUUUUAUACAUUUUUAGCUAUUGUAAAGUAUUUGAUACGAAGAGAAUUAACUUAUUCUGAUAAACACAGAAAUAACUCAUAUUCUUACUCAUAUAUCUCAUUUUUGUUCUUUCUUGUCAAUUAUUAUGUUUGACAACUAUUGGAAACAAAUUGAUAAAAAGAGAAUUAACUCAUUCUGAUAAACACAGAAAUAACUCAUAUUCUUACUCAUAUA